CGGAGGGGCUAGCGUUGUUCGGAAUUACUGGGGCGUAAAGCGCACGUAGGCGGACCAGAAAGUUGGGGGUGAAAUCCCGGGGGCUCAACCUCGGAACUGCCUUCAAAACUAUUGGUCUUGAGUUCGAGAGAGGUGAGUGGAAUUCCGAGUGUAGAGGUGAAAUUCGUAGAUAUUCGGAGGAACACCAGUGGCGAAGGCGGCUCACUGGCUCGAUACUGACGCUGAGGUGCGAAAGCGUGGGGGAGCAAACAGGAUU
rnacentral:rRNA from 1 species